UAGCAAACCGCUCUGACAUUAAUGACUGUUAUUUUGUGUUAGUAAAGCGCAUCCACGCGAGUAACAAUAGUAAUGACACAUGAUUGUAAAGAUGGCGUUUAUUAAAGAGGAGAGUGAAGACGUGAAGAUUGAAGAAGCAUUCAGAGUCAAACAUGAAGAGACUGAGGAACAAACAGACCUCAUGCCAGUGAAAGAGGAGCGCAUAGUACCGAAUGAAACGGAAGAGAAUGAACAAAAUGAGGCUCAUCAUGAUUUUAAAACUGGAGAAGAAUCUUUCAGUUGCCCACAGACUGAAGAGAAAACCGCUCAUAAAACGGGAACUGAAAGUUAUUUCACCCCAUUUCACUCUGAAAAGAGUUACAGUGAACAUGGAAACCUUGAAGUCCACAUGAGAGUUCACACUGGAAAGAAGCGUUUCCCCUGCCAACAGUGUGGAAAAAGUUUUACUCAAAACGUAAACCUUAACAGACACAUGAGAAUUCACACUGGAGACAAACCUUAUACCUGCACACAGUGUGGAAAGAGUUUCGAUCAACAUGGAAACCUAAAAGUGCACAUGAGAAUUCACACUGGAGGGAAGCCUUAUUCCUGCCAACAAUGUGGAAAAAGUUUCAAUAGAAAAGGAGAUCUUACUGACCACACGAGAGUUCACACUGGAGAGAGCCCUUUCCCCUGCCAACAGUGUGGAAAACGUUUUACUCAAAAAGUAAACCUUAACAGACACAUGACAAUACACACUGGAAACAAGCCUCACAUCUGCCCUGAGUGUGGAAAGAGUUUUGAUCAACUUGGAAACCUUAAAGUGCAUAUGAGAGUUCACACUGGAGAGAAGCCUUACACCUGCAAAGAGUGUGGGGUCAGUUUCACUCAUGAAGGAAACCUUUACAGGCACAUGAGAAUUCACACUGGAGAGAAGUCCUUCACCUGCCAACAGUGUGGAAAAACAUUCAAUAGAAAAGGAAGUCUUAAUGACCACAUGAGAGUUCACACUGGAGAGAGCCCUUUCCCCUGCCAACAGUGUGGAAAGUGUUUUACUCAAAAAGUAAACCUUAACAGACACAUGAGAAUUCACACUGGAGACAAGCCUCACAUCUGCCCUGAGUGUGGAAAGAGUUUUUAUCAACAUGGAUACCUUAAAGUGCACAUGAAAGUUCACACUGGAGAGAGACAAUUUAUCUGCCAAAUGUGUGGAAUAAGCUUCAUUAAAAAAGGAUUCCUUACCAGGCACAUGAGAAUUCACACUGGAGGAAAAGCUUAUACAUGCCCUCAGUGUGGAGAGAGUUUUGAACAACAUGAAAGCCUUAAAGUCCACAUGAGAGUUCACACUGUAGAGAGACCCUUCACCUGCCAACAGUGUGGAAAAAGCUUUACUGAAAAAGGAAACCUUAGCAGGCACAUGAGAAAAUUUCACCGCAUUUAUUAAACACAAACUUGAUCAGCAGAUGAGGAUUAAUUUGAGAGAACUGUUUUAUGUCCUCAGGGUGGAAGUAGUCAUGCAAUAACAUUAUGAUGUUGGCCAGUAGUCUCUGGUGUAUAUUCAGCAGGAUUCUAUAUUUAGAAGGUGUUGUUUGGCAGCGUUAGAGUUGGGUACUUGAUCUUGGACUUGGACUCAAGUCUGAGCUUUAAUAAAUCUAAUAAAAAUAAAUGCAGACAUCCUACAACAUUUAGAUGCAAUGAAAGGUUGCCUAUCAUAUUUCAAAAUCAACUUCAGUUUACUUAAAUUUAAUUUUAACUUAUACUUAAUUUAAAAACAGCCACAGACCGACUGUACAAGUACAAGUUAGCAUAAAAUAAAAAAAAUUUAAGAACUCCAAUGGCAGCAAAACAGUUAACUCUUAUAAGUUAAAAACAACAAGAGAAUAAAUACUUUUUGAUACAAGACUUGAACUCAAACAAAGUGGACGCCAAUCUAAUAUAGAGUGGGAGCUUGUUUCACAGUGUUGGACCAGCUUUGUCAAUGGCUCGGUUACCCCUCGAUUUUACCCGGAUUUUGGGUAUCUGAAGGAGGAGCUUAUUUUUGGAUCUAAGGCCUCUAGUGGGGAGUAGGGGUGAAGUACAUUUGACAAAUAAAAGGGUGCUAAACCAUUUAAUGAUUUAAAUACCAGUAAUACAGUUUUAAACUCAAUUCUAAAAUUAAUCUGAAGCCAGUGAGGGGAUCUCAGAAGGGGGGUAGCAUGAUCAGAUUUCCCCUUUCCCUUCAGUAAUCUCGCCGCAGCAUUUUGAAUGACCUGUGAUCAGGCCACUGCGAUAUAGCAGUCUCCAAGGAGUGCUUAGGAAGACGGGAUUUGAUUUUUGAUAGAGAAUGAAAAGACAAAAAGCUGGACCCAAUGGCCACACUAAUCUGCUUGUCAAAUUUGAGGAAACUAUCUGCUAUCACACCUAGAUCCUCAAGACAUGCUGUUAGGUUGCCUACAGAACUCUUAUUUUUCCUAGACAUGCCAUAUAGAUUUGCAUAUCAUCGGCCUAGGAAUUAAAUGAAACAUUAUGCUUCCUAAAAAUGGAACCCAAAGGGAGAAGAUAGAGAAAAGGGGACAGGAGCUAAAACCGAGCCUUGAGGCACGCCACAGGAUAGAUUGUGAAGAGAAAUUGUUCUAUUUUUAGAGAAAAAAGUACAUUCAUUAGAAAAUAUUUAAACCAACGUAAAACAGCACGCAAUGGUAUCAAAAGCAGAGGACAGGUCCAACAUUACUAAAAUGACAGAGUCCCCUGAAUAUGUUGCCAUAUGAAUAUCAUUACUAACUCUUACAAGAGUUUGUCUGUGCUAGUGUUCCUACGACAGACGAGCUUAGAGUGGUUAAAAUCAUCCAGGUUUAAAUCGCACUCAAAUUGAUUAGAUUUUGACACAAUAUUUAAACUGAAGCUUGCAGCAGGCAGUUAUGGUAAAGAGUGUUGGGGUAAUGCAUUACAAGUAACGCAAGUUAUGUAAUCAGAUUACUUUUUCCAAGUAAUUAACUAGUAAAGUAACACAUUACUUUUUAAUUUACAAGAAAAUAUUCAAAAAAGUAACGCCAGUUACUUUGUUUUCCCAUUUAUUGACUGUCAAGUCUCCCGUCCCCAUAUUGGAAGAAAUUUGAAGUACAGAGGUGUUGUGUGCACUGUGUGAACAUGAUGUAGUUCUAGACUAAAUGUGAAUGUGCACUGAUUCUUCGCACUAACAACAACAACAAAAAAAGAUUUUGUAUUCAUCAAAAUUAUUUAAAACUUGACAAAAUGACUUAAACUCAUAAUAUCACAUAAACCUGCAAUAAUUAAAUGUUAAAUAAGACAAAUGUAUCUAAUCCCAUUAUAUUAACUAAUGUCUUUGGUGCUGACCAUUGAUGAUCCAGUUCAACCAUACUAAAAGCAAAAGUGAUAUUGUAAUGCAUUACCUUUAAAAUUAACUUUACCCAACACUGAUGGUAAGAGGCAGGACAUUUGUAAAAGAGCAUAAUAGGAUGCAUUUAAAAGCGUACUGAUGAUAGGCAAUUGUUUAAGAUCUCAUAAGAAAUCUGUAAUCUGUCCUUUUUCCACUUCCUUUCUGCUUUUCUGCAUGCCUGUCUCAAGAAACGAAAACUAUUUUCAACCCAUGCCUUUAACUUAGAUGUAGAUUUUGGAUUAAAGAGCUUAAAAUGAGCUAUAAGGUUUAAAAUAUCUGUCCAUGCACUGUUUAAAACAAUAAAAUCAAGAUCCAAUAAUAGACUCUAAUGAUAAAAGAGGGUUGACCUCAUUAUAGAGCUUGACAAAAUCCUCACAAACAUGAGGCAAAUAUUAACAGGUUUGUGUACCAUCAGAAGCCAGUGGGAGGGAUGAUUUAAAUAAAACAGUAAAAUGAUCGGAGAUGACAGAAUCAAUGACUUCAGCAUCAGAUAGACAAUAGGGCCUUCCACACCCCGGGAACCUUUUCAUAGUACCAGAACUAAUUUUGGAAAACUACCCACUUUUGGGCAUUUUCGCACCACUGGAACUGGGCACGAUUUUAGUACCGGACUGCUUUUUUUAAGAACCAAAUUAGAUCCUACUCUGGAGCAGGGUCUCACCAGCACAACUGGUACUUAAAAAUGCCCUCACCCUCCAUGAUUUAAAACAAUGUGCAAACACACUGUAAACAUUGUCAACUUAUUUCGCAAGUGUGGAAAACAGCAAUAGAUGGACGGACUCUGAAGAGCUUGUACUUUUAAACAUUUACACAGAAGGUACGCACUGAGGAAAUCCAGUUGGAAUUCAAAGAAAAAAACAAAAAGUGUCUAUUGCUUCUCAGCUAGCGACACUGGGUAUCCAGCAUACAGCUCAGCAGUGCCAUGACACAAUUAAGAAGUUAAAACAAGACUAGAAAUUAAUUAAAGAGCACAACAAUCAGAGUGUUGCCAGAUACCAGCUACUGGACAACAUUCUUGGCCACAGACUGGCUUAUUCUGGUAGUGCCGGGAUAAAGGAUUCAGCUCUUGGGCUAAGGGGAAACUGACCAUGGAGAGUUCACCAACCAACUCAAACCAGGUAUAGCACCAGAGUCCUCUUUUGUUGCAGAGGCACAACAUAGUGCCAAUUUGAUGGACAUUAGUGGCACUGUAUGCAGUGCCUUCAUUUCCACGUCUUGCAGUACCCCCAGCCGCCCCGUCUCUGUACCACCUGUAAUGUCCUUGUUCUCUUUUAGUUGCAAAGAGACGAAUGGUUGAUGCUAGUGUCGUAAGCCUGGUGAAAGAGAUGAUGGAGAAAGAGGAAGUGGACUGCAGACAAUGUCAAUAAGGCUUUGCAUUUCUCCUGACUUUUUAAUGGAGCAGGCACAGAGAGAAGCUGAGGAGCAUGAACGGCUGCUUGUACAGGAGGAAGAAGCAUGGUGUCAGCAGGAUGUUUUCAUGGAGGGUUUUCUGGCACCUAUGAAAAACUGGUGGCAGGUGCACAGCACCCACAUGAACCUACUGUCAACUAGCCCUAUAAAUGUUUAAUUUUUUUCAUUUUAAUUACAUUUUCUUGUUUGUACAUUUACUUUUUUUUUGUAUGUAUUUUGUAUGUACGUGUUAGUUUAUAUAUUUAAAAAAAGACACAAUUUUUAUUAACAAAUGACAAAUAUAAAUAAAGUAUGGAAAGAAUUAUGUUGCUUACUCUUUUUAUUUGUGCUGGUAAUCACCUCGUCUCAGAACAUGAUGAAGCGGCAAUGUUUUUUUUUUUAAUCCCAAAAAGGUAUUUUUAUCCAAAAUAAAAAUAAGGAAAUGUAUGUUAGUAUGCAUGUAAUUAAUGUUGGAAAUGUAGCUUAUGAAGUCAUGAAAAAAACAUGGACAGACAGACUACUUUGCAUUCAGAAAUCAGUGUCCUGAGCAGUCACAAUGCAGUUUCUUAACAAUUUUUACAGUAAGGAUUGUUAUAAUUAUAACUGGGACAUUUCAGCUGGCACCCAAAUGGUUUAGAUGCUGCAUCAAGGCAACACAAACUCCAAACUCUUCAGUCUCAGCAACAGGUGCCUGGUGUGUAACAUCCGGUUGGGGGAAAGGACACACAAGGUACACACAACUCCUCUCUAUGCUCCUUGCCAUGGGUCUCACAGAGGUUGUGUAGUACACAGCAAGUGAUCACCAUGGACUUCACCCUUUCUAGAAUGCAGUCAUUGUGCUUCAACAGGCAUCUCCAUCAUCCUUUCAAUCGGCCAAAUGCAUUUUCAACCAAAAUCUCCUCUUGCUUGUUUUAUGGUUAUAUAUACCUGCUGCUGUGCUGUCAGAAAACCAUUGUCAGGGAAGGGCUUCAUGAGCCAGCUUGUCAGUGGAUAUCCAAGGAUGUAGAGGCCCACGUUUUGUCCAUUAAUAUUUCUGUAUUGCUGUGCAAUCAAAUUUAUUCCCUUAGCCAGCUCCCAUAAUGCAGACAAACACAGAACCCUGACAUCAUGCAAACUGCCAGGUAACCCAGCAAAAACAUUCCAAAAUAACCACUUGGCAUCAACAGCUGCCUGCAACACAAUGGAGUACCACCUAUUACGACUGAACUAUUCAGUGUGGUAUUCCAGGGGAGAGAUGUAGUGAUCUGUCUCACUAGACAUUCUGAAAUUUUGGCUCCACUGCUCAUCUGUGAAGUAGGGCACUACAGUUGUCCACCCCUCAUCGAUUCUCUUGUGGACCCACUGUAAAUCUAAGAACAAGAACUGAUUUUAACCUGUGUUAAGUGUCCUACAGGUAAUCGUGCUCAUGAAGAGCAGGCACACAGUUGCCAGGUGCAGACACCGCUGAAGCUAAAUUGUCCCGCAUGUGUUCUCCUGCGCUGGCUUCUGUGUUGCAGGGUUCAGGUGGCCAUCGUCAUCCUCCGCAACUUCUGCAUAAACUAUGUCCCCAUUAAUAAGACAGAGGUUAUGGAGCACCGUGCAGCAUGCAAUGACCUCUGGCACAAAAGCAGGACUGACUUCCAGUGCCUUGAAAAAAAGUUUCAGCAUCCCGAAGGCCCUCUCCACGAUGUCCGUGCACGAGAAUGCUUCCUAUUCCAGCGUUCUGUAUGGCGUCAUGAGGCAGAUGGGCAAGGAUACUAACCAUGUCCAAGGAUGCAUUUUCCUGCAGGAAAUGGGAAACGGGCGGCCAGUGUACACAGGGCUGUUCUUCAGCACCCUGGCAUCGUACACAGACCCAGGAUACCCCACAAAAAUGUCGAGGAACUUCCCCUGGUGGUGAGUGAUGGCCUGCAGCUGUACAGAAUUAAAGAGCUUUCGAUUAAAGUAGCACUGCACAUCACUUGCUGGUGGUUUGAUGCGGAUGUGACAGCCAUUUAUAGCACCAGCUACUACUCUGAAAGCUGGAGACGCUGCCAGCUGGGCAAAACCUGCUCCCACCACCUCCAGGUCAUCCGCACUGGGGAAAGAGAUGAGCUGACUCAAAAUCCCGAUGACUGCCUUGCUCAUUCUGUGCUCGUGCACAGUAGACUUCGGGAUGUCAAAGGCGAGUGACACUACCCGGUGUGAUGCUGCAUGUGCCAGCCAGUAAAGGAACACCAGCACCUCAACGUCCUUUUCCCAGCCUUGGUCGCAUUCAGGUUUCACUGCAGCAAUCAAGGACUGGAUGGAGUGCCGUGAAAGUCAAAGUUUGGUGCGGAGGUCAGCUCCAUCUUCAAAAUACAGACGAAGAAUUGGCGCAGCAGCAUUCAGGUGGCAGUAGGGCUCACAA